UUCUCUUCUUUUAAGGUGGAACAUAUAUUGUGGCUUUUCAUUGGCCUAACUUUAGAGGGAAGUAUCAAGUACCACAUCUAGCUAGGACCACUGCAACGGUCCUCUUCACAGCCCAUGGACUUUGCUACAUUAUCUUUUGGGACAACACUAAUCAAAUCUAAGAGAUGCUCAUGUGGAAUAAAGCUGGCAUCUCAAAUGUGGCUGGAAAAGUAGCUUUGCUAGCAGGAUUAGCCAUGUUCCUACAGUCCCAGCAAAAAAUUUAGCUGGUUUCUGCUCGCAUCUUAUCUUGUGAAACUAUUGAACUGAAUUUCUCCAAGAAUCCAGGUGAA